rnacentral:rRNA from 1 species
GACGAACGCUGGCGGCGUGCUUAACACAUGCAAGUCGAACGGAAAGGCCCUGCUCUUGUGGGGUGCUCGAGUGGCGAACGGGUGAGUAACACGUGAGUAACCUGCACUUGACUUUGGGAUAACUUCAGGAAACUGGGGCUAAUACCGGAUAGGAGCUCCUGCUGCAUGGUGGGGGUUGGAAAGUUUCGGCGGUUGGGGAUGGACUCGCGGCUUAUGAGCUUGUUGGUGGGGUAGUGGCUUACCAAGGGUUUGACGGGUAGCCGGCCUGAGAGGGUGACCGGCCACAUUAGGACUGAGAUACGGCCCAGACGCCUACGGGACGCAGCAGUGGGGAAUAUUGCACAAUGGGCGGAAGCCUGAUGUAGCGACGCCGCGUGCGGGAUGCUGGGCUUCGGGUUGUAAACCGCUUUCGCCUGUGACGAAGCGUGAGUGACGGUAAUGGGUAAAGAAGCACCGGCUAACUACGUG